CGGGUGAGUAACACGUGGAUAACCUACCUAUAAGACUGGGAUAACUUCGGGAAACCGGAGCUAAUACCGGAUAAUAUUUUGAACCGCAUGGUUCAAAAGUGAAAGACGGUCUUGCUGUCACUUAUAGAUGGAUCCGCGCUGCAUUAGCUAGUUGGUAAGGUAACGGCUUACCAAGGCAACGAUGCGUAGCCGACCUGAGAGGGUGAUCGGCCACACUGGAACUGAGACACGGUCCAG
rnacentral:rRNA from 1 species